GAUCAUGUAUUAAAAGGGAUACCAUACACAUAGGGUCAAGCACAAUCUCUAAUCCUCAAGGUCAUUACAUUACGUAACUAUUCACAACUCUACAUCAUUAUACAAUUUGUCAUAUCCACAUUCUAGCUAUUACAUACACAAGACUUCAAUACUCUUGCUGACCUCCUGGUCUACCCUGUACCUGCAAGCCUGGGGGUUAAGGGAGAAGGGUGAGCUACAAGAGCCCAGUGAGCAGAAUAAUAAAACAUUUAAAAUAUAUGAUAACAUGAAAUGCAUCACAUCACAGCUAAUCACAUCAAUGAUGAAUUUGUCACCAAUAGUCCUCUACAUGGUCCAACUGCGCCAGGGGCGUAGAAUGGGCCUCACUAGUCUUUCUCUUACAUAAUCAUAACAUAGCAUAACAUAACAUUCCAACUGUGCCAGGGGCGUAGAAUGGGCCUCACUGGUCUUCCGUACCGUAUCAUCAUCAUAUCAUAACAUAUGAGGACUAAAGGAUCAUUCAACAUUCAUCCGCAUCAUCAACAUAUUAUGCAAUGCAACAUAUUCGUGAGUUCCAAUGCAAGCACCCUAUUAUAUCUCAUGGCAGUCAUGAUGCGUGAAUCAUGCUAAAACUGGUUUAUUUAUUUCAAAGCAUAAGAGUUAUUCCACUCACCUCUGGCUAAAGCUCUACUGACUCAGAAGCAGCUGAACUCACUGCUGGGGUCCUCGGUUCCUCGGGUCCGAACCU
rnacentral:lncRNA from 1 species